rnacentral:rRNA from 1 species
GAUGAACGCUAGCUACAGGCUUAACACAUGCAAGUCGAGGGGCAGCAUGAACUUAGCUCGCUAAGUUUGAUGGCGACCGGCGCACGGGUGAGUAACACGUAGCCAACCUGCCGAUGACGCGGGGAUAGCCUUGCGAAAGAAAGAUGAAUACCCGAUGGCAUAGUUCUUCCGCAUGGUAGAACUAUUAAAGAAUUUCGGUCAUCGAUGGGGAUGCGUUCCAUGAGGUUGUUGGCGGGGUAACGGCCCACCAAGCCUUCGAUGGAUAGGGGUUCUGAGAGGAAGGUCCCCCACAUUGGAGCUGAGACACCGUCCACACUCCUACGGGAGGCAGCAGUGUGGUACAUUGGUCAGUGGACGAGAGUCUGAGCCAGCCAAGUAGCGUGAAGGCUGACUGCCCUGUGGGUUGUAAACUUCUUUUAUGCGGGAAUAACGUGAGGAACGUGUGCCUUUUUGUCUGUACCGUAUGAAUAAGGAUCGGCUAACUCCGUG